rnacentral:lncRNA from 1 species
GGACUUCGUGGUGUCGGGGACUUCUCUCUUUAGAUAGCAAUAGCAAAAAUUAGUGUUGCCGGAGAUAAAGGAAAAAAAAGAGCCAACUAGCCAGAAGAGAGAAGAAGAAAAAAAUCGCCAGAUGACAAGAGAGAAGAAAACUGGAGGAGAGAAAGAAGGAAAAAAGAGAGAGAAGGAAAGGGAGAGGGGAGAGAGAAGAGAGAAGGAAAGGAAAGAAAAAAGAAGAAUAAAAAAAGAAAGAGGAGAGAGCAGUGAACUCAGGAAGAGGAAGAAAUAGAUGUGAACCGUUCAAAUCAAUUGCACGGUCAAAAAUUCAACUCCGUAACAAAUCCGUAUUGUGGGACUUCGUAAUGGAGAAGCGCCACUCAUAUGAUUAUCCUCAAAAGUACACUUUUGAGAGAUGUUCACAAGUGUGACUUUCAGCAUUAAGCGUUUCAUUGGGGUCAUUCGAUCAUUAAUCACGUGCCAAAAAUGAUCAGUCAAUGGAAAGACAUAGUGGGGCCCACUGUUGACUCUCCUCACUUCGUGACAAAUCCAUUAAAGUCGGCAGCAGAAA